rnacentral:lncRNA from 1 species
GUGACUCUAGCUGAUGUACAAUGCAUUUGGGAUUUGCAUACAAAACUACAGACAAUUAAAUUUCCAGAAUCCCACAAUGAUACAACUUCUCGAAACCUGAAUUUUUUCCAUCCCCUGAUGGUUACAGAAUUUUACAAAAUUUACAAUUCGCCCAUGUAAAGAAACUUAUCUUCCAAGAAUACAAAUGCAGUCAUGGCUGAGAUGUCAUGUGGUUUUGAAUACAAGUAGAAGCCACAUAUCAUAGCGACACAAGCAAUGCCUAUAGGAAUGAAUGUUGUCUCCUCAUCUCGUGCUCCAAAUAGCAACAACAAAAUUAGAAACCAUCCACCUUAUGUAGCUAUUGAAUGCACCAACAUGUAUUUAAUUUCAUCUAGGUCUGAUUUAAUAACCUCCAUUAGCGGUCAAAUAUCAAAUUUGACCAGUGGUGUCUUCCUUGAACUGAUGAUAAAAGGAAAAACAAUGUCAAAACUUGAACCAGAAUUGACCUUGAAAGAAGGAAAAAAUAAAAAGCCUAUUAUAUGAUUUGAUGAUGAAACAUCUCUGCCAUUACAUUGAAAAAUGUUGCCAAAACCUACGCUAAGAAGCAAUCAACAACAUCUAGAUAAUAACAUUUGAUAUGAAUGCUUUCUGGCCAUCUAUGCAAUUCGUGGAUUAUUCUACAUGCACCAGAUAAUUGAUCUGGUAAAUCGACUGGGGUGGGGAGGACAUCUUUAGGCAACUAAUAUAAUUUUGAAAGUCCAAAGGAAAAUUCCACACAACAGUUAAUGCAAGUAAAACCUAACAACUCAUAAUUUAAAUGGCUGACUCUCCAAGGACUGAAAAGGGGAUAUGGAAUUAAUUUGGCCCAGGUACAUUAUUGUUAUCUGUUACCUUCCAAUGGAAGUAACAAAUAACUCAAUGGUGAAACUGAUCAAACUAUACAACAUGUGUCCUAACCUAACCACCACUAAUAAAUACUAAUACACCACCACACAAGUAACUGCAGUUCUGAACAAUAUGGAUGCAUGCUGGUCAUUUAGACAAAUACCUACCGAGCAUCAAUGUGCAUGUCUCAGAAGCAGCUCCUAGCAAGGGCUUCAAGAUCACAGUAAUGCCUGCCAAAACUUUCUUUCCUUGGGUACGAAUGUCGAAGUUUAUGCUUAAGGUGCUAUUGGAAUCCCACACCAGAAACUCGGAAGUGGGAAUAUUAAGGGAUCAUGCUUCCUAGUCUUAGGGAACAUGAAGUUCCCAGCUUUGAUUCCUCGCAGUAAUUGGGACCUGAGGUAGGAAAGCAUAACCUACCAAUUUCACCAAUACAUCUGAUUUUUAAGUCUUUCCAAUUUUAAAAAACUAAAAGAUUCAUAGGAUUUCAUCACCUAAGUUCCAAAACAAGAUCUUAUCUCAAACCAAUUAGAUGGUUAAUUACUUCAAUUAGGAAAUGGAUCCCGAUAUUCAAUAAAUAAAAGCAGUGAGUUAAAUGUCAAUUCUAAUAAGAUAGGAACAUAUAUUAUGCACAACCAUGAAAACAAAUUACUUCAAAUCAUCAAUUGAAAAGAUACAAAAUAUUGAAUAUUCAUAGUGCACGUAAAAUCAGAACUACUUGAAGCCUCAAAUAAUUGGCCACUUUUGGCAUGGGUUAUACCUUUUGUGAAAAAAAAAAACUCAUAUUGUUAUAUUUUUAAACAACAUAGUGCUUAUGAUCAUUUUUGCCCAUUUUCAAUGAGGAUUUUUUUUGGGACUCUCAAGGAGAUGAAAACAGUUGUUCAUGUUGGAUUUUCUAUAGACGCAAGUGUAUGCGGAUUUCAAAAUUUUUCUAAAUCCAAAACGCAGCGAAAAAAUCAGAUUAAAAUACUUUUAAUCUAAGCAUGCAUUCAUCAUAUGAAAGCACCUAUGGAUCUAGUUCAUAUGCUGAAAUUAAUAUAAACUGAUUUUAGGAAUAACAAACGAAAGUCUGCAAUCAAUUCACAUACCUGAAUCGCUUUCCCUUUGCUUCAAACCUGUAACUAGGAUUGUAUUCGAUUCAAUCCCUGGAUCUGGGCCUGGAUGGGUUCUGAAUCAGCAGCACAAGCGUCUUGCCUCUACGGAUAUCCACAAAGCCAACCUCAAUUAUUUUCUGUUGGAUCUUGCUUAUCGGAACCAAAGCCUAAAUAGGCUUGAACCAAACCUGGAGAGGCUUUUAAUUUUGAAUCUUUUUUAUCUUUCUUUUUUGAUUCUUGAAGAAACCAAGAACCCUUUCUUGAUCAUUCAACUAAUCAAAAAGAAUAACAAUCAAGAAUUGGUUGUAACUAACUCUCAAUAAACUUGAGAGCAAAGAGAACAAGAACCAAACAAGUGGCACCAACUAAUUGACACCACUCCCUAUGUGCCGCCCACCCUCUUUUUGGCUCCAAGGGAGGAUGCCAAGAGAGAGAAGAGGCAUGGGCUAGAGAGAGGAAGAGAAGGGGAGGCAUGGGCCCAGUGAAGGUGGCAACAAGGAGGGAGGAGAAGAGGUUUUUUCACAACUAAAGAGCUAGAGUCCUUUAUAUAGACAAUUUAAGGAUGUCCUAAUUAAAUUAGGAUCUCUCAUUCUAAUCAUAUUAGAAUUUCUAAUCAUAAUAUAGUUAGACCAAAUAAAUGGGGCGCCAGCCAUUACACACCCAAAGCCACACCCUACUCUAAGCGUCCCAUCAUAUGGGAUCCAAUUGAAUGCACAAAUCAGCCCACAUGUUUCCAUAAAUUCUCUUCAAGGGUUCUUAACUAAGAAAUUCUUAUUUGAUUUAAUCUAAACCAUAAAUUAAUUAUCCAACAAUUGGAUCUCAUUGAAUCAAAUUCAAUUAGGUUUAAAUUAAAUAUAGAAAUUGAUAAAAACUUAUCAUAUAAGUAAACCAACCAUAAGAAAAAUUGGAUUCACCCAGGUGUUAACAAGAUUAACAUGAAUCCAAUAGAAUUUUUCUAAAUCCAUAUAAAUUAGUGCUUCAUGAGCCCAAUUAUAAUCAAUUUAGGUCUUCUCCCUUUAUGUAUGACUCCAUAGAUUUAAUUCUGUCUGGUAGUGAGAAAUAUCAUGAUCUCUAUCAUAGAUAUCACUAAAAUCUCUUUCAAUGGAUCGAAACAGUUCCACUUUAACUCGAUAAGGACUAUUGAUCCAAAAUGAUCCUAUUGAGCUCUCACGAUCCACGAGUGACAUCUAGCAAUAUGUAGUGGCAAUCCAACAGAAUCGAAAUAGAAUCUCUAGGUGCAGUUAAUGUAUGAUGCAGUCCCUCUAUUAUGAAUUCCGACUAGAUAGCAGGUCAUGGAUAAAUAUCAAAUCUCAUCAUCAGUCAUAUGAUAGAUGUGAUCCACUCAACUCCAAUAGUGAUUUCAAAUGAAAACUCCUUUCCAUUAAUCACACUACUAUGGCCAUAGACUUGUGGACUUAACUUCUCAAAUCUCAUAGGACUACUCUCUAUCAAGGUCGAUAGAUCCCAUUUAGAUGCAUACGUUGCUCGCAUAGCUCAACCAACUGAAGCCAACAUCUACUACAAAAAACUCAUAAUCAAGUUAAUGUUUAUGUGUAGUCAAACUACAGCAGUCUUACUAUGAGCAACUGUAACACCACAGAUCAAAGAAUCAGUCACACAACUACGGCAUCGAGAUAAUCACUGACGAUCGAAUAGAACUCUAUGUGAUCUCUCGUAUGGUCACACUCAAUACUAGUUGUUCUCUAACAACUAUCCGUACUUUCCGCUCAGUGUCUCUACAUCAUAUAUUAGAGAUUCAUCUACCCCAAAGGAAGCGAACCAUGCGUCGGUCUAUUUGGAUAGAUCACCGUCCCCAUGACUAUCCUAUAACCGGAAGCAAUUUAGAAAUCAAUCAUACAUAUCUCUAAUUCUCAAUAUUUGAGAAUAUGUAUCGUAAUAUCAGUUUCAAGGACGAUUCAAGGACACAUAAUACUUGAAUGAAAAAAAAACUUGCCCUUUAUUGAUUAAAUCAAUAGUUUACGUAUAAAUAUAUGUCAUAGAACAAAAAUGUGUCAACCAACAAUUAGCUUCUAGGACAUACAUCUAACAGUUCAACCAUUCCAUGCAAACUUUAAGAACCUGAAUUGGAAAAAACAAAAAUGCUUAAAUGCUGUAAAGUUGCAUCCUUCCAAUUGAACAGAUGCAAUCAUAAACCUCAAUUACUUUGGAUGCAUUCCCUCUUUCAAGAAGCUUCUGAGAAGGAGAAGUGCUGGACUGUGUGAAAGCAUAGAUAGGUGUGCCUGUCCAUACCAUAUGAUAUAUACUAUGCCAGAGCAACAUGUGGUAACUGGCAAGGCUACAUGCCAGUGUAUGCUGCCAAUUUUUGCUAGUCUCUGCUAGGAAUUAGCACGGCACAGCAUGACAUGCAUUAUGCCAUUGCCAGGCAAAGACAAUACUAGCUCAUGGCCCUUAAAACUUGGUAUCGAAGCGCGAUGAAAGACGACAGUCCCAAGCUAACUUUAGUACAAUAUGGGAGAAAGAUUCCAAAAAUCCUCCAAUUAAACCAGAAAAAGCCCUUAGAAGGAACUAGCAAUGACUAACAAUUCAUAGAACCAACCCUGAGGGAACACGGCUUUAGUUAUAGUUCUUGUUUUCCUUGAAACAACAGUCCUACAACAGAAGAAUAGACAAAGGAUAACCAAAAAGAAGAGGCUAUGGUUUGAUUGGCCUCAAAGCUCCCCCAGGCCCCAACUCCUUCCAUCUCUCAUCUUUAGGCAUGACAUGCUCCACACAUUUCUCAUACAUAAAUCAAGAGGAUUUGCCCGUGCAUAUCACUCUGGCUCCAUUAGCCAAUAUAAUGUCCUUUUUCUGAAUACAUAUAGCCAAUAUAAUAUCUAACCAGAUCAUAAUAGCACAUUUUCUAACCCAUAGUAAAAAUACAAAUAUGAUGAUAAUAUUCUUUAAGAUCAAAUAUUGAAAUUUCAGCUGAAUUAAUCAGUAUUAACUGAAACUAAGUGAAUUUUUUUAUUUUGGCCAGUUUUAGCUAGUGUUGAUUAUGUUUUUCUAGUAUUAGCAGUCAGCCAAAACCAGCAGCAUUUUUUGAAACUAUUCAAUGUGAACUUCUAUUGCUGUCUGGCACCAAAUAGAAGGCCUCUUCUCAUUUUACAGAAUCUUGAGGGACAACGAAGGGCAGUUGAUGUCACCUCAGUGUCACCCCCUUGUUUCUUGUUUGAAAGUUUGCUGAAGGAAGAUGCAAUGGGCAUUGUUCAUCCAUCUCCCACCCUAAGAACUAGUCAUUGAACACAUUUCUCUUUUAACUCUGCUCCCUGACAGCAAUCUGAAGAAAUAAACAAAGCUAGAAAUAGUGUGACCCAAUGUAAGAGUAGAGAUUAGUUCAACAAGAGCACACACGAGAACAUGGCCAUUUAACCUACUUAUGGUGAAAGUGACAUUGGCAGUGCAACAAUUGCAGGCAGCAGGCUCAAGUGAAGGGCGAUGGUGCUCUAAUUUGAUCUUGGAUUUUAUGACUGUCAACAUAUCAGGAGACAAGACAUAAAUAUUGAGAGCAUCAGUCCUAUAACUUGAGGCACAAGUAGCGGUGCAAUCGAACCAACCCAAGCCAAGUUAGUAGCUAGAAGCUUGAGCUAGACUUGAUUCAAAAUACUCGGGCUUGAAACUUGACUUGAGAUCAAUCGAGUCUUAAUAUCUAAGCUCGAACUCAACUCCAUCAUAAAUAAGCAAUGCUUGAGAUCGACUUGACUUGAAUAUCAACCAAACCAUACUUGAGCUCGAAUUCAAGCCUUGGUCAUAAUUAAAAAAUAUGGUUAAAAUAAAAUAUAAUAAUAUAUAUAAUUAAAAUAAAAUAUAACAUAAAUAUUAUAUUUUAAAUUAUUAAAUUAAUAAUAUAUAUUAUUAAAAAUACAUAUACUUGACUAGGCUCGCAAGCCUUCGAGCCAAGUAUUUUGCUAUUUAAGCUCGACUUAAAAGAUUGUUCGAGCUACUCAAGCUCAGUAACCAUCGAGUUAAGUCGAGCUUGGGCCCAAAUCGAGCUCAAAUAGUUUAUUUGCACCCCGAGGCACAAGUGGAUCAUACAUAUGCAAGUCAUGUGAGACACAACAAUGCAUCCGAUUCUAGUGAUCAUUUGAGCCAAAGCCACAUAGAUUCCAAGUUGGCCUCUUCAGGAAGUUCAGGAUAUGGGUAUGGCACUCACAAAAGGUAAAUGCUUGGAACUUUCAUGACUUCAUGAGGGCAGCCACACAAUUGCAGCAAGAGUACAUGUGCCCAAUGACAACAUGAUAACAUCCAUGUUCCGGAAAUGAACUCUCUCAUUUACUAUUCUCAAACCCAUCAAUAUUCCAUCUACAUCAUGAUAAUGAUGGCAAUAACCAUCAUUAUUUGUGUGAUCUACCUCACAGCACUGUGGUACUAAAUUGGUAGACGUAACUAAUUUGGUACUCAUGAACAUUUUUCAGUUUAUACAUAAUUAGGUGCUAGGCAAUUUCUGAUACUGAUCUUCAAUAGGUCAAUACAUACGUGUGAUAUAAUUAAUGCAUUUAGCUUCAUAUAGUUUAGCUUCAGCCUGAUAUACCUGACUUACGUUAUUAUCCUAGACCAAAAUAUAAUAAAAUGAUGUAAAUAGCUUGCCUUGAUUUCUUUUAUGAUUCUCCAAAUAUUUUCUAUUUUUUCUUGGAUUUUGUUCUGGAUUUUUGAGCCAAACUUCGAAACUCAGAGUGAAACCAUUAAAGCCAUGGAAAUAACCAAACCCAACAUGUUAUUCAAGAGGAUCGAAACCAAAAGUGAAACCAAGAUUGAGUUUUAAAACCCAUGUAUCUUUCACAAGCAACAUAAUCAACAAAUUAGUGUUGAGACUUAAGAAUAUAGAUGAGGAUUGGUCAAAUGCUUGCUAAUUGAUUACAUAUCUUACAUACAAGGAACUAUUUAUCCAACUCUUUUUUAACAUGACAAUCAGCCUCUUCAUGCCUAAUCCACUUAGAACUGGAUCGCUGACUCAGUAAAUAGUUGCCAACAAUCAUAGAACAUCAUUGUUAGUUCAUCACAAAUCCUUAAAUUAUAAACUUUGCAAUAUGAGCAUGGCCCUUAAUCACCUGUGUCAAAACUUCCAAUCACACAUAAUUUCUCACUUGAUGCUAGCAGAUUGCUUUCAAUGACGAUGCAAUACCUGACCAUUGAUCUCAUAUUUAAGGGAGUAUGUUAAUAAACACCUAAAACACUUCCUAGGCUAAAUCCUCAUGCACCUACCUUUGCACCUCCACUAGGACUCCUCAAGAAGAAAACAGAACACCAAAGCCGUGUGACUGAUCAUCUCUGGUAGACCUAUUAAUUGUCAAUACUCUUUAGAUAUAUCAUAUAUCCCAUCAAACAUCACCAAUAAAACCCAUCUAACUCUGAAGACUCCAAUAAUCACUUGAACAGUGAAGAGAAGACCUAAAAGGGAAACACUCAACUUAUCGAUGCAUAUGAAAACAUUGUAGCACAUAUUUUGCAUGAUGGAAUCAGUGAAUGGAUAAUCUACAACCACAUUAUCUACAGAGGAAUGUAUAUGAAAAUCAAUUACGACUUGUCCAUUAUCUCUAAGCAUUUCUUAGUCAUAUUGGCAUGUGUUUAUGUUGCUACUUCCAAACUCUUGCAAUAAGAUUCCUAGCAUCCAAUGACCAUCUAAUUUGACUUUAAAUCAAUCAAAUUUCUACAUAAUAUUGAACUCUACAUGGACAAAGAAGAAUACUUGUUGAAGUACGCUUCCUAGUACUUAUUUUUGUCAUUGUUGUUCCCGCUAAAACAGACAUAUGAUGCCUAAAACCAAAAAAAGAUGGGGAUAGAGGGGAGUUUAAAUUAGGUAAAAUUAUUUUGUUGGUCAGCAUGUCUCUCAAAAACCAGAAAAUGCUCCACUAGGGGAGGAAUCAAGAAUCUAAAAUGAAGGCUAUGGGAACUGAAGAAUGUGACCCUGAUGCAUGUUGUGAGAAAAUAGAAAUUUGAAAAGGUAAUUUACCUCAUAAUCUUGCAACCACUUUUGACAACAAGUUGGAGAAAAAUAUACUAAAAACAGGAUGACCAUUGUCAAACUAUUGGAUGAAACCAAAGGAAACUAUCGAAGAUCGAAUUGGCAAGCAGACAAGAACACCAAAAACACGUCACAAAUUCUGACACGUCUCCUGUCAGAAAUGAAAAAAUCCAGCAUCCAGCCGUAUGGAAGGACAACAAACACAUGGCCGACAAGGAAAAAAAAAAAAUCCUUUUAAAUCUAAUGAAACACUCAGAAGAACCAAUGAUUAGUAUAACUCUCUCUGGGAACCUGAUCAAUAGGCUGGUGGGUUCUUAGUGACGAUAAACAGCAAGCAUCAUCUACCUACAGCACAGCAAGCAUUAAAUUCACUCACUUGAUUAAGUCACAACUUUAUGAAAAUUUUGACAAUACGGGAAAUGAUCUCUUUAAAGUUGGUUUCAGCAGCAUCACAACAGCACUGUUGGUGUACAAACGACCAGCAUAUUAAGGUAAUGCCAGAAUGGGUCUUGGGUGAAAAAGGCAAAAGUUCUAAAUUAUGAAAUUAUGCUAGCAAUAAGGAUGAUAGGAGUGAAUUUUCUAACCACGGGGUUGGAUAUUUUUAGUAGAACCCAAAAGACCUAUGAGGCAUGGACAAAGGAAUAUAACACGAAACAGAUACAUGAGUAUGGCAAUCUUUAAACAAAAAAAAAAAAAAAGAGAGAUGCAAUACACCCUGGAUACAGUCAUAGAUAUAUAGUUCUUAUAGUUUUACACAUAUGUAUAAGAACAUCCAUAAAGCACAAUGGAUCAGCACAAAUAUUCAUAAGAUCAAAGUCCAUUGUCCAUUCAAUAACAUCAACAUCCAAAAACUCCAUCAAUCAGAAAGCAUUCAAAUCCACAUAUGUCCACGAAUCGGAUUCUACUAACACAACAAGAGGGGAAAGCAAAGAUUUUUCUCCCCUCUUCAAGGAUGAUGUGCAUUCUUUCCUGCACCUUCUAGUUUCUUUCACUUCUUUCUUCCCUUAAUUGAUCAUCAUCUUUGCUAGUGUUAAUCAACCAAAAUCUCAAUGACAUAACAGAAGUAGUGGG